UAAAUAUCAACACACCCAAGUUGGGUACGCAUAUCUAUUAAGAGUUUGAAAUCAACUACUCGAUCGCCAACAAUUAUUAGGUUGCAUCCACAUAUCCAUUGCCAACCAUUUGAUACAAGAGUUAGAUGUGCCUACAUUAAGUUAGAACAUAUCCAAGGCAUAUAUCUCUCAACUAAUUAAAAAUAGUCCAAUUCUGAAACUUGCACUAAAACCGCUAUAUAAGAGGCCGAGUGGUGCAAAAGUCAUGCAUUAAAACAUACCGACAGUACUCCACAACAUAGAACAUGACCAACCGUAAAGUAGCUGGAGUGUUAUGCCUCCUAGUCUUUUUGGCCAUCUAUUCUUGUUCGCGCAAUGCACAAGCAAUCCAUGGAGUAGAUCACUGCACCAUCGAUAAAAAUAACGUGAUGCGAGACUGCUCGGGUAUCAUCGAAAAGAAUCUUGGUAACCAGGUUCCGCAACCGUGGACCCUAUGUUGUGGUGCAAUAAGAGGUGUGACGGACAUCCACUCGUCUGUGAUCGGUUCACCGCUCACGAACUGACUAGGAUCAGUCUACCCAAGUUCGCCUGUAUUACACAUGUAUGCGGCAAAGGGUUGCACCCCCACACUCAUUGUGCAGGUUACCUUGUUCCGGUCAUAAAGCGACGACGUCCACCCCCGGCAAGUACCUAGGCCUUCAGUGUAAGAACAUUCUCAUAAUGGGAAUAAUUGAAUAAAGCAAAGAAUGAUGUCAGCUGAAUGGCAUAUGCAUAAUGUAUUUGUCCUCUUUUGGUGUGUAAUAAAAAUGUUGCGCACAACCUCAUCAAUUGUGGUUGUUUGCAUUGGUAUGAUCA